rnacentral:rRNA from 1 species
CGUAAAAGGCGCAUGCAGGUCGUCACUAGUCAGAUGUGAAGGCCCCGAGCUCAACUUGGGAAAGUGUCAUCUGAAACUGGGUUGGCUAGAGUCUUGUAGAGGGGRGUAGAAUUUCCACGUGUAGCGGUGAAAUGCGUAGAGAUGUGGAGGAAACCCGGUGGCGAAGGCGGCCCUGGCAAGACUGACGCUCAGGUGCGAAAGCGUGGGGAGCAAACAGGAUUAGAUACCCUGGUAGUCCACGCUGUAAACGAUGUCGAUUUAGAGGUUGUGGUCUUGACCUCUUCUGGARCUACGCUUAAUCGACCGCCUGGGGAGUACGGCCGCAAGGUUAAAAUCAAAGAAUUGACGGGGGCCGCACAARCGGUGGAGCAUGUGGUUUAAUUGAUGCAACGCGAAGAACCUUCCUACUUUGACAUCCAGAAUCCUUUAGAGAUAGAGGAGUGCCUUGGGAACGCUGAGACAGGUGCUGCAUGGCUGUGUCAGCUCGUGUUGUGAAAUGUUGGGUUAAGUCCCGCAACGAGCGCAACCCUUAUCUUUGUUGCCAGCGCGUGAUGGCGGGAACUCAAAGGAGACUGCCGGUGAUAAACCGGAGGAAGGUGGGGAUGACGUCAAGUCAUCAUGCCCUUACGAGUAGGGCUACACACGUGUCAAUGGCAGAUACAAAGAGAAGCGACCUCGCGAGAGCAAGCGGAAUCAUAAAGUCUUGUAGUCCGGAUUGGAGUUGCAACUCGACUCCAUGAAGUCGGAAUCGCUAGUAAUCGUAGAUCAGAA